UACGUAGGGUGCGAGCGUUGUCCGGAAUUAUUGGGCGUAAAGGGCUCGUAGGCGGUUUGCCGCGUCGGGAGUGAAAACGCCGGGCUUAACUCGGUGCUUGCUUUCGAUACGGGCAGACUAGAGGUAUGCAGGGGAGAACGGAAUUCCUGGUGUAGCGGUGAAAUGCGCAGAUAUCAGGAGGAACACCGGUGGCGAAGGCGGUUCUCUGGGCAUUACCUGACGCUGAGGAGCGAAAGUGUGGGGAGCGAACAGG
rnacentral:rRNA from 1 species